UUGGGACGAAGGUAGUAUAUGAAAACUGCUAACUAGUGACUCUAUGACACUAGUUUUUUUUAUACUUAAUUAAACAUUUGGUCUCUUACGUUUAUUUUAGGUUUCAAUUUGGUUCAUUGCGUUUAAAAAGUAUCAAUUUGGUCUCUUACGUUUCCAUUAGGUAUCAAUUGAGUCAUUUCCGUUAAUUAGUUUUGUCACUAACACCGUUUGAACUAUACACGUGUCAGUGUCAAAGUGUCCACCUGUCUAGCCACAUAUGCAAAUUGAAACUAUUACGUGUAGAAUCCAUUCACAAACUCAACCAUUAGAUCAUUUCAAUCUUUGCAUCAAAUUUAUCAUUGAUUAGUAUAUUACUAAAUCAAUAUGUGAACAGAUGAGUAAGUGAAGUAUAAGUUGUGAAACAUUUAUAUUAGUCUAAGAACAAAAUAGAAAGAGAGAGAAGUGUCUGAUAC
rnacentral:lncRNA from 1 species